AAAGGUCAGGAGGUGGAGCUCUGUAUAAUUUACCUGGAAGCUUCUCCUUCUCUUUGUCCGCAGCUCCACAGACGUCAAAUUGAUUUCAACCGUGUGAGAACAGAAAAAAACAGAUGCAGCCAGACGAUGCGAUAAGACAAGCAAGCUCCUCCCCCUUUAACCCUCCCCCUCCCACUCCUACUUUUGGCCAUAACGUCUCCUCGAGCCGAUGAUGCCGUCAGGAGCCUCACCUCUACCCCCCGCCCCAUCCCAUCCCCCCCCCCCUCACCCCUUUAACCAGAACCAGAACACGACGGACUCAGAAGUUCCUCUGAAGAAAAUGUCUCUUUCUGCUUGUCUUUGAUGCAUGUUCAUUUCUUUUCGACCAGGAUCUUAUUUCCUGCAGGUGGACCUGAUUUGAACCAGGCUGUAAAUGUUGAUCCCACGGAGGAUUUUAGUAUUGUAAAAACAAAGAAACAGAUGACACUUCUACUGGUUCUUUCAGUGUAACUUUAUCUUUUCAUGCUGUGAGGUUUUGAUAAUUCCUCUGAGGUUUAGAGGUCACGUAUCACGAUAGUGAGCCGCUAAUGUAAAUGUUUGAAAUUAUACCGGGAAUGUUUAUUGUAGAUUAACCUGAUUCACUUUAUAACAGAUGCACCUUAUCAGCGUAAAAACCCUUUAAAUUAAGGACGCUAUCGUGUUUGAGGGUCAUGAAAAGGCUGAUUGGGGUCAACUAAAUCCUGCAACCUUCUCACAUUAACCUCC